CUGGCUAUAAGGAGUUCAAUAUUUCAGCAAAAUGGAUUUUGAGAAUAUGAGGAAAAGAACUGGGUCAGUCUCCAAGGAGAGCCUUCAGGAUACACACGGCAAGAUAAUGGAAUUCAUCACCUAUUCUGAGGGCUCCGCCGUGUUAACACAGCUUACCACUCUCAGGCAGAAUAAAGUUCAUGAUUUA